UCCAACAAAUGUUCUUGUGCCGACUGGAGAGACAUGCCAAUAUCAACAAAUCGGCAGGUCUGCUAAACUAUAAAGAAGGGCAAUUAGUGAUCAAGUAUCUCAGGUUGCCCCUACCAAAUAGAAGCCCUAGAAGGGAGGACUAGCCUCCAUUUGUGGACAAAGUAGACACGCGGCCGGCUAGAUGGAAGGGAAGGUGGUUAUCUGCAACUGCAAGAGGUGUAAAGAAGAAACCGUGAAGCAUCUCUCCUUACAGUACUGGCUUCAGUGCAUCGCCAUGCACGGGAGAUCCUUCCUGCAGCUGAGAGUGAUUAACACCUGACAUGGCCGUCGAUAGUUAUGGUUUAACUCCAUUUCUUUCUCCCCUUCAUAUUAGUUAAGAAAAUGAAACAUGAAACGAAAUCAAGCAGAACUUGGGUGUGGGAGACAAAGAAGAAAGCUGAAGCCCACCGCCCUAACGAUCACCAUUCGCCAUCGACAGCAUGCCAGUGAUCAAUCCGACACCAUUAAAUAUGAUAUAUGGGACUAAAGACCCAACAUGCUCAAAGAUCCGGAUACCAUCUUUACCUCGUUGUUUUCAUUCUCUUCUGAAUCUAUAUAUCACAUAAGCAGAAGUUAUCAUUUCGACUUCUUGCUAAGCCUUGUUUUCAGUCUAUUUCUUUUGGCCACUUCUGCUGAUAUUUCCAUGUUCUAGGUUUUGGAUUAUUCUAUCAGUAUUUCUUGAAUGUGGAUUUGUUAUGCUGCUACUUUUUA